GGUGAGCACACCACGAAUACAAUUGCUACGAUCUCCUCCAUUUUAAAUUCAGUGCGAAUUUGUUUUUUUUCUAUUUUAAUUUUGUACGGUUAAAGGUCACAAUGUAGCUGACCUGGAGAAACGUAGCGUUUUCGCAAGUGCUUAAGAUCUAUGAUUAGCAGAAGCGGCUCUUGGCAAAGUUGCAUUAUACAUCAAACAAACCGUCUGCGUUUUCACGUGCUGCUUUUGGAGGGAGCGAACGGCGAUGAUGUGGAUAUUUUAAGAAAGGCGCCCCAUUAAAAUCAAAUAAAUAUGUACAUAUGUACAUAUAUAUUGUAAUAUUAAUUUAAUCUUCCAUAUUAACUUAUACAAUGACGUCAUAAAAAUGUUAAAUGUGUAAUGUUUAUUACAUAUCAAUAAUUUUAAACCAGAAAUAUUACAGUGUACAUAGAAUAAAAAUUAUUUGUACAAUGU